rnacentral:rRNA from 1 species
UACGGAGGGUGCGAGCGUUGUCCGGACUCACUGGGCGUAAAGGGCGCGUAGGUGGCGCGUGUAGUCAACGGUGAAAGCCCGGGGCUCAACCCCGGGUCGGCCGUCGAUACUCUCGUGCUUGAGCACUGUAGAGGCAGGUGGAAUUCCGGGUGUAGCGGUGGAAUGCGUAGAGAUCCGGAAGAACACCGGUGGCGAAGGCGGCCUGCUGGGCAGUAGCUGACACUGAGGCGCGACAGCGUGGGGAGCAAACAGG